rnacentral:rRNA from 1 species
GACGAACGCUGGCGGCGUGCUUAACACAUGCAAGUCGAACGGAAAGGCCCUGCUUUUGUGGGGUGCUCGAGUGGCGAACGGGUGAGUAACACGUGAGUAACCUGCCCUUGACUUUGGGAUAUCUUCAGGAAACUGGGGCUAAUACCGGAUAGGAGCUCCUGCUGCAUGGUGGGGGUUGGAAAGUUUCGGCGGUUGGGGAUGGACUCGCGGCUUAUCAGCUUGUUGGUGGGGUAGUGGCUUACCAAGGCUUUGACGGGUAGCCGGCCUGAGAGGGUGACCGGCCACAUUGGGACUGAGAUACGGCCCAGACUCCUACGGGAGGCAGCAGUGGGGAAUAUUGCACAAUGGGCGGAAGCCUGAUGCAGCAACGCCGCGUGCGGGAUGACGGCCUUCGGGUUGUAAACCGCUUUCGCCUGUGACGAAGCGUGAGUGACGGUAAUGGGUAAAGAAGCACCGGCUAACUACGUGCCAGCAGCCGCGGUGAUACGUAGGGUGCGAGCGUUGUCCGGAUUUAUUGGGCGUAAAGGGCUCGUAGGUGGUUGAUCGCGUCGGAAGUGUAAUCUUGGGGCUUAACCCUGAGCGUGCUUUCGAUACGGGUUGACUUGAGGAAGGUAGGGGAGAAUGGAAUUCCUGGUGGAGCGGUGGAAUGCGCAGAUAUCAGGAGGAACACCAGUGGCGAAGGCGGUUCCCUGGGCCUUUCCUGACGCUGAGGAGCGAAAGCGUGGGGAGCGAACAGGCUUAGAUACCCUGGUAGUCCACGCUGUAAACGGUGGGUACUAGGUGUGGGGUCCAUUCCACGGGUUCCGUGCCGUAGCUAACGCUUUAAGUACCCCGCCUGGGGAGUACGGCCGCAAGGCUAAAACUCAAAGGAAUUGACGGGGCCCCGCACAAGCGGCGGAGCAUGCGGAUUAAUUCGAUGCAACGCGUAGAACCUUACCUGGGUUUGACAUGGAUCGGGAGUGCUCAGAGAUGGGUGUGCCUCUUUUGGGGUCGGUUCACAGGUGGUGCAUGGCUGUCGUCAGCUCGUGUCGUGAGAUGUUGGGUUAAGUCCCGCAACGAGCGCAACCCUUGUUCACUGUUGCCAGCACGUUAUGGUGGGGACUCAGUGGAGACCGCCGGGGUCAACUCGGAGGAAGGUGGGGAUGACGUCAAGUCAUCAUGCCCCUUAUGUCCAGGGCUUCACGCAUGCUACAAUGGCUGGUACAGAGAGUGGCGAGCCUGUGAGGGUGAGCGAAUCUCGGAAAGCCGGUCUCAGUUCGGAUUGGGGUCUGCAACUCGACCUCAUGAAGUCGGAGUCGCUAGUAAUCGCAGAUCAGCAACGCUGCGGUGAAUACGUUCCCGGG